UGGGGAAUAUUGGGCAAUGGGCGCAAGCCUGACCCAGCAAUGCCGCGUGGGUGAAGAAGGUCUUCGGAUUGUAAAGCCCUUUCGGCGGGGACGAUGGUGACGGUACCCGCAGAAGAAGCCCCGGCUAACUUCGUGCCAGCAGCCGCGGUAAUACGAAGGGGGCUAGCGUUGCUCGGAAUCACUGGGCGUAAAGGGCGCGUAGGCGGCGGGCACAGUCAGGCGUGAAAUUCCCGGGCUCAACCCGGGGGCUGCGCUUGAUACGUGCCGGCUGGAGGGCGGAAGAGGCUCGCGGAAUUCCCAGUGUAGAGGUGAAAUUCGUAGAUAUUGGGAAGAACACCGGUGGCGAAGGCGGCGAGCUGGUCCGUACCUGACGCUGAGGCGCGACAGCGUGGGGAGCAAACAG
rnacentral:rRNA from 1 species